rnacentral:rRNA from 1 species
AGAGUUUGAUCCUGGCUCAGAACGAACGCUGGCGGCGUGCCUAACACAUGCAAGUCGAACGUGAAAGUCCUUCGGGAUGAGUAAAGUGGCGCACGGGUGAGUAAUGCGUAGAUAAUCUGCCUGAUGAUCUGGGAUAACAUCUCGAAAGGGGUGCUAAUACCGGAUAAGCCCACGGGCCUCUUCGGAGCUUGCGGGAAAAGGGGGGGACCUUCGGGCCUUCUGUCAUCAGAUGAGUCUACGUACCAUUAGCUAGUUGGUAGGGUAAAGGCCUACCAAGGCAACGAUCUGUAGUUGGUCUGAGAGGACGACCAGCCACACUGGGACUGAGACACGGCCCAGACUCCUACGGGAGGCAGCAGUGGGGAAUUUUGGACAAUGGGCGCAAGCCUGAUCCAGCAAUGCCGCGUGCAGGAAGAAGGCCCUUCNGGUUGUAAACUGCUUUUGUCAGGGAAGAAAUCUUCUGGGUUAAUACCUCGGGAGGAUGACNGUACCUGAANAAUAANCACCGGCUAACUACCNUGCCANCANCCNCGGUAAUACCGAGGGUGCNAGCCGUUGUUCCGAAUUAUUGGGCGUAAAGCCNCGUGUANGCCGGUUUUAUAAAUUUUGAUGGGAAAACCCCCGGGCNUNAACCUGGGAAGNGCNUUGGAUACCUGNAANANCUUGANUUCCCGNAANAGGNCCCNNGGNAAUNUCC